CAGACACCUCUGCCUACCAUUCUUCUUGUGCCUGGCUAAGUACUGUUCACUGAUUAUAUAGAACAGAACUGAGCUGAACUAGCAUUCAGAAACAGGAAACCUUUCCCGUUGUUUUAUGAAUGUUUAAAGAAAAUCAAGUUAAAAGCAUUUUGUAAAGUGAAGAAAAGCCUGUUAUCUCUUAUAGUAGUACAUUGCUUUUCAAAAUCCAAGUGGAAAUUUCAGUUCACACACCAAGCUCUCCAAAGCAUUAAUGUUUUGUGAACUGCAGCAAACUCUUCUGUGGACAAAAGGAAAUCUGAGCUGGCAAAUUCAAGACCUGCUGAAACUUGCUGCAUAGGAAGCCAAGGGAGACGUGCAGAUUUCUGAAGAGAGGGAUGAAUCUUUUGGCUCUUGCUUCCUAGUACAUUUGUGAGCAUGAGGAGAAGAUGCCUUCAGGAGAUUUCAAAAUUUUUCUCAUAGCUGGAAUUUUGGGACAUAAUUCUGCAUAAUCUUAUCCAUUCUUACUCCUGUUUUAAAGACUGUGGCUGGAAAAAAAGAAAAAAAAGCAGA